rnacentral:rRNA from 1 species
GGUGAAAUGCGUAGAGAUCUGAAGGAACACCAGUGGCGAAGGCGGCUCUCUGGACUCAAACUGACGCUGGGGUACGAAAGCGUGGGUAGCAACAGGAUUAGAUACCCUGGUAGUCCACGCCGUAAACGAUGUCAACUAACUGUUGGGUUCUUAAAGAACUUAGUAGUGGAGCUAACGUAUUAAGUUGACCGCCUGGGGAGUACGGCCGCAAGGCUAAAACUCAAAUGAAUUGACGGGGGCCCGCACAAGCGGUGGAGCAUGUGGUUUAAUUCGAUGCAACGCGAAGAACCUUACCUACCCUUGACAUCCAGAGAAUCUGUUAGAGAUAGCGGAGUGCCUUCGGGAGCUCUGAGACAGGUGCUGCAUGGCUGUCGUCAGCUCGUGUUGUGAAAUGUUGGGUUAAGUCCCGUAACGAGCGCAACCCUUAUCCUUAGUUGCCAGCGGGUCAUGCCGGGAACUCUAGGGAGACUGCCGGUGAUAAACCGGAGGAAGGUGGGGACGACGUCAAGUCAUCAUGGCCCUUAUGGGUAGGGCUACACACGUGCUACAAUGGCCGGUACAGAGGGCUGCGAACUCGCGAGAGUAAGCCAAUCCCAAAAAGCCGGUCCCAGUCCGGAUCGCAGUCUGCAACUCGACUGCGUGAAGUCGGAAUCGCUAGUAAUCGCGGAUCAGAAUGCCGCGGUGAAUACGUUCCCGGGCCUUGUACACACCGCCCGUCACACCAUGGGAGUGGGUUGCAAAAGAAGUAGGUAGUUUAACCUUCGGGAGGGUCGCUUACCACUUUGUGAUUCAUGACUGGGGUGAAGUCGUAACAAGGUAAC